UACAGAGGUCCCAAGCGUUGUUCGGAUUCACUGGGCGUAAAGGGUGCGUAGGCGGUCGGGUAAGUCUGAUGUGAAAUCUCACAGCUUAACUGUGAAACUGCAUUGGAUACUAUUCGGCUUGAGAGUUGGAGGGGGGACUGGAAUUCUUGGUGUAGCAGUGAAAUGCGUAGAUAUCGAGAGGAACACCAGUGGCGAAGGCGAGUCCCUGGACAGGUCCUGACGCUGAGGCACGAAAGCUAGGGGAGCAAACAGG
rnacentral:rRNA from 1 species